rnacentral:lncRNA from 1 species
ACAAGGUUGUAUUUAAAUAGAUGCUGUCACAAUGCUGGUAUGCAUUUGGACUUCAUGCAAAGAUUUAGAAUGAGUACAAUUUUAUUUUAUAUUUUAGAAUGAGUUCAGUAUUGUUCCAAGUUGCAGAUAUAUUCAGGUUUUUUAUUUAUUAUUGUUUUUGUUUUGGGAGCAGGAUAAUCUUAUCCCUGUAACAAAUUUAUACAAGCUUAUACAGCAACCGUGUUUAGUUUGCCCACCUGAAAUAUGUUUUUUUUUCCUUUCUUUUUUUUUUAGAGAGAGAAUUUUUUAAUAUUUAUUGUUUAGUUUUUCGGCAGACACAACAUCUUUGUUUGUAUGUGGUGCUGAGGAUUGAACCCGGGCCGCACGCAUGCUAGGCGAGCGCCCUACCACUUGAGCCACAUCCCCAGCCCCCAAAAUAUGUUUUCUUUAUUGCUUUCUGUUCACUGCCCCAAGAUUAUAUAAGAACUACUUUUUAUUGUAUUGCUCUUCUGCUUGUUACUUGUGACUUUUUUAUGUACAUAUUAAAGAUUUGUCAUAUCCUAUCAGAGUGCUAGAGUCAGACUCCAUAUUUUACCUCUCCAUCUUUGUUUUCUUCUAUUUUGGAAUAUUAGUCUUCCAUUCUGGUCAGACCUGUCUCCCUUUACAUGUGCUUUACUACUACUACAGAGCUCUUUUUCACCUAUUGCAGUCUUUAAUUUGUACCCAUCAGUUGUUCCCAACCAGUGCUUUUCCUAACCAUUUCUGUUCCACAAUAAUCUUAAAUUACCCUACCACCUAGAAUUUCUGUUUAACAUUUAAUACCCUGCAUGCCUGGAAAGUUCAAUAUGUUUUUGUGUAUAUUAUUUCAUUAAAAAUCUCAUAAUCACCUAUUUUAUGGAGCAAAAACCUGGGGGACUCAUCAAGUUGUGAUUUACCCAGGAUGUUUGCCAUAGUGUCACUUUUUUUUUUUUUUAAUUGUUGUCAAUCAUUUUGGCCUACUAUCUUUUUUUUUUAAUUUGUCUCAGCAGUAUUUAACAAUAAAAAUGAAGCACUGCCUCUAAUAAGUCAUGUUUUUAUUUUUAUUUCCAAGCUCCCUGUUUAUGUACUUAUAAGUUUGACCCGGUUCUUACUUUAGAUUUUGUGCAGUUUUAUAGUAUAUUCUAAAUAAUGAAACACUAGCAUUCUCAAUGAGGCAUCGUGAAUUCAUACCUCACAAUGGCAAAGAUACUUUGAUUUCAAGAGGCAGGAAUGUAGUGAGAAACUGUACUGUACACCAGAAUCCCUUGGUGUGAAUCCAGGUCUGGUACUUAACAGUGACUGCUUUCCUACCACAUCAUCAUCUUUGAAUAGUUACAACAAAUUUAUUGGUCUGCAAAGAAUUCUUACUUAGCCCUUUCCAGAAAGUUUAUCAAGUUCUGAGCCUGAUGAGCCUUUUAUUUAUUUAUUUGAUUGGGAAAAUAGAGAUUUGGAAUAGAUUUGGAGUUGGAAUAGGAAGUAAGAGCUAACUUUUGAACACGGUAGAUCUGAGUUGUGUAUUAGAUAUUCAGUUGUAAUUCCUCUUGUGAUAUAUGUAGUAAUUAAUAAUUAAUGUAAUUAAAUGUUUUCUGAUAUUUUUAUGAGUUCUAUUAAAGUUGUUUACAUGUUCACUAACUGUAUAAAUAUUAUUCUCAGUGAAUUGUGAUAUUUGUUUUAAAAUUGUUUGUCUUGCCUCCCCAAGAAGUAUUAGACUUUGUGCAAAGAACUGUUCUAAUUCUGUGGUAUAUUUUUAUUUGUUGAAUAAUUUCAUUUAAGAGAAAUCACAUAAGAGAUAAAUAAAGAAGCUAACUAUGAAUAUGGGAUCUAGUGAAUAAAUUUCAAAUUAAGAAUAUGGCAUCCUGUUCUUGGUUGGAGAGAUCUUAUAUAUCCCCAAAUUGUCUGUAUUGAGUGAGCUGCCACAGAGGAAUGGUAAAGUUUGCUUUCAAGAGCCAGUUUUUUAUUACAUUUUGUGGAUAUGGGGUUUGAACGCAGGGCUUCAUGGGAAGUACCCCUACCUUUUUUUUUUUUUUUAGUUGAAGAUAGACAUAAAUAUCUUUUUAAUUUUUAUGUGCUGCUGAGGAUUGAACCCAGUGCCUCACACUUGGGAGGCUAUCCCUCUACCACUGAGCUACAGCCUCAACUAGUCUUUUAAAAAAACUUUUAUCUUCUGAACAUUUCUCAACUUUUAUUUUACUUCAGGUGAACUACAGAAAGCCAUUGACUUGUU